UUUAUUUGUAAAAUUUAUUAUGGAUCUUCACAUUAUUUAUGAAAAACUCAGGGCAUCUCGUAACUCUCUCUAUAUAUUCUACUACUACUGAAUAUGUUCACAGUAUACAGAUCGAUAAAAUGUCGCUCCAAAUCUCUGAGCUCUGGUAUACGGUUAUAUCCAACUUCUGGGAUGGAUAGGUGACAUGGCUUAAUUGAGAGGA
rnacentral:ribozyme from 1 species